rnacentral:rRNA from 1 species
GUGCCAGCCGCCGCGGUAAUACGGAGGGUGCAAGCGUUAUCCGGAUCCACUGGGUCUAAAGGGUGUGUAGGCGGGCUUUUAAGUCAGUGGUGAAAUCUCCGAGCUCAACUUGGAAACUGCCAUUGAUACUAUUAGUCUUGAAUGUUGUUGAGGUGGGCGGAAUAAGUCAUGUAGCGGUGAAAUGCUUAGAUAUGACUUAGAACACCGAUUGCGAAGGCAGCUCACUAAACAAUGAUUGACGCUGAGGCACGAAAGCGUGGGGAUCAAACAGGAUUAGAUACCCUGGUAGUCC